GGAUAAUCCCGGGCAACCGGGGAAAGGAGGGCGUUAAUUGGUGACGUCCUCCCCUCUGCGGCGCGAGCCGCACGCAGGCAAAUAUCACCAGUUCCUCUGGACGGCGUCGCAGCCGAUCCAGUAUUGCGACAAAGGAGCUGUGCGGCGAGGCGCGACAUCAGAAACCGCGUUCGAGCCGAGUCAGGUCCAGGGCCAGUUUCGGGCCUUGCACCGAUGCAGUUACCCAGAGGGUUGUGGUUGCUACUGUAUAACUAGGACGCAGCGCAGUGUUCCGGUGGGUCCACCCCACCACAAGGCCCGGCCCGCAAGGCGGGGCGCGAAAGGGACACCGCGCAGCGGGGAGCGGGCGAGUCUGGCAAAGCUCGCAAAACCUCCUAAUUGGGGCGGCGCGUAAAUCCGCGUCACCCAACUGCAAAUCGAAAGCAACCUGAGAGGUAAGAGGUCAGACCCGUUACACGGGGCCAACGCCCGGCCAAAAGCCGGGGCCGUCCCCGUGGCAAGGUGCUGGUGCGAAAUGCAACAUUGCAGGCGUGCCAACACCCGUCCGGCGAGUUCACCAUCGGCAGAUGGAGCCGAACCGGGCGGAGAGGCCUCACUCGAUAAAUUCCGGAGCUGAAAAGGCCGGGACGGUCCCGCUAUGAGACCGACAGCAUCGCAUGCCGCGAUGAGUAGCGUCGGGAAGCACACGGCCCGCGAAAGCGAGGCGCCCAAUGUUGUGCGAAUGGGGAAGAGUGCGUGGCGAGCACC
rnacentral:ncRNA from 1 species